ensembl:lncRNA
UUACUAUAUUAAUGCUUAUUUGCAUAUUAUAUUAGUAAUUAUGUAUCAUAGGUUGAUACCAUGUCAUACAAACAUAUACAUCUAGAUAUGUAUUUUAGUUUAUGUAAAAUAAAUGAGUUCUGCUUACAACACAGACUGAUUCUGGUUGACCUUGAACCUGAGUUGUCUCUGUGGGUCCCACCUUCUCCCCUUAUAGUAACAGGCCAUGAGCACAGUUUCCUUACCCUGGUGUUCAGGCCCAGGGUUUCUGAGACCACUUAGGGGUCCCUGUAUUUUAAGUAGCCAAGUGCAUCUCCAGUGCAGGGGGGUCUUUUGGAGCAUAUCCUGGCGUCCUGUGUGACAUGGUACAACUUUUAUACGGUGUUAACAUUGCUGUGUGAACAGACAUUGUCACCUGUAACUUCAGGGCUCAGAUUAGCUAAACAUGUUGCCUUUGUUAAGGAAAGAAAAAAAGAGUUGAUCUCCCAGAAAGGACAAACACAUGGGAGAAUCAAAGGGUCCUUUCAGAUGUGUAAACCUAAUAUCAGAGAAUUUAGAGUCUCACCCAGCUCACAGGUGUCCUCGCUUUGAUCACUAAUUAAAAUGUGACUUCUAUCCGCAGUGUCACUGUCAGAGGACUUGACAAAACAAAGUGCGUCAGGUACCUGACAAUUUCUGAUAAAGCCCUGAAAGACAGGUGUUCAUUCCUGCAGAAGCUUUGAAGCUAAAAAUAAAAUAAGACGAAAUUUAAAUUAAAGGAUGCUCCCAAGAACAUAGUAAUCACCCUAAGACACACACUUGAGGGUCUCUUUUGCUCCCAGAUGAUGGUGGAGGUGGUGGGGAGGGGAUGGAAAGGAAUGCAGAAAAUGGGGUAAAGUAAAGCCUUGUAAGUCAUUCGAGAUCAAUCGUCAGAGACUGUGUCUCAACGGUGUCAUUAUCAGAUUAAUAUUUGAGUUCCAAUUUAAGCUGGAAUUAUUUGGAUAACAGAAAUCAAAAGGAACGUUUUUACAAACGAUUUUGCCUCAGAGCAAAAGAAAGGUAUCAGGGAUAGGAUUUUUGUGAUUUUUCACCACACCUCCCAAAUUCCUGGGAGCUUCAAGAAUCACAGACCUCCUCACCUUCACAGCUCUGCUUUAUCUUCAGCUGAGGCUGGGGAAAACCAAAUUCCUCCUGAUUUCAUAUGAGUUUUCAGUGGACUAUAAGCUUUUUGGCAAAAUAAUCUGCAGUGUAUUUCUAAUCAUUGUGAAAGCCUGAUUUAUUUGACAGGUCAUUCCUCAUUGAAAAUGAAGAGCUGCCUCCCUGGGGAUAAAAGCAAACUUUUAACUGAUUGCUUCUUUUUAUUUCCAUGUCAACAUUUACCAGAGCCAGGGAUCUCUACUGUAAGCUGGUUGAUAAAGGGUCUGACCUUCUGAUAGCCAACACAGUAGAAUAAUUGGCAGCAAGUAGCAAAUGAAAACGUUCAGUGAACCUCUGGUUCCAUAGGUACUGCUGCAAGUGGCAUUAUCCCAUCCUUUUUUAUGGCUAAGUCAUAUUCCAAUACAUAUAUAUAUAUAUAUAUAUAUAUAAAAUAAAUAAAUAUAUAUAUGUAUUUCAGGGAAGCCCAGAAUGCCUUGGAGAGUUUCAGGCAACAGAGCUUUGACUUAUGUAUGGUUGCAGCUCUAUUCUUUGCUAGGUUCUGUGCUCUCCUGCUGAUCUUUCUUAAUAAAGUCAACCAUUCUGAAUAUCAAUAAUCAAUUGCGGUGAUACUAUUGUUUGUUGUUGCUGUUUAGUUGCUAAAUUGUGUCCGAUUCUUCUGCAAUACCACGGACUGUAGCCGGCCAGUCUCCUCUAUCCACGAGAUUUUCCAGGCAAGAAUACUGGAGUAGAUUGCCAUUUCCUUCUCCAAGGGAUCUUCCUGAUCCAGGGAUCGAACUGGGGUCUGUUCCAAGGACAAGUGGAUUCUUUACCAUCUGAGCCACUUGGGAAGCCCAGUACUGUAAAGGUGGAUUCCAGUUUCUGGAAGCAGCUGUGUUGGAAAGCUCAGGAUCAUGAAGUCUUGAUGAAGCAUCAGGAAUUGUGGAGAUCGACCUUACAGGAUGGACCUUCUCAUCACACAGGGGAAUGAACCUGGUUCUGUGCAGCAGGAGACCCACACGGCCCCGUGACUGGAUGAUUCUGUGGUCAGUGUGAUUUGUUCAGUGUUUUCUUUGCUUCUUUCCCUUUUGUCUUCUCUACUUUCCUGUUUGGUUUCUUGUAGGAAAGGCAGCUCAGCCUGCUGGGAUCUUCCACCUGGCAGCUUCUGUCUCUCUGCCUGAGGUGUUCCUUGUGCCAGGAUGCACUGCUGUUCCCACUAACACCAGGAGCUUGAGAUUUGAAUGGCUGGAGAGGCAGUGAUGGGGUGGUUAGAUAGCAUCACCAGCUCAGUGGACGUGCGUUUGAGCAAACUCUGGGAGAUGGUGAAGGACAGGGAAGCCUGGCGUGCUGCAGUCUGCAAGGCAGCGAAGAGUCAGACAUGACCGAGCAACUGAACAACAACCAGUUUGAAUGCCUCUGGACCGAUCAUCGAAAAUGAUCCUGAAAUCUAUUUCAGUUUGGGGAUAAAAAUAUACAAUGAUACACUUAUUUUAUGGCAGCUUCCCAAAUUCACAUUAGAUUUUUUUUUUUAUAAGUUUGGAUUUAGCUUUUUAAAAAGAAAGCCUUCAAUCGUGAUCACGGAAAAUACAGCAAACCCAUAGCAAUGGCUGAUCGAACUCUUUAUGUUAUAACUGAUCUGUUUUGGGGAGGUGCUCUUGAAGAAAAGAGAUGGGUAGGACUGAAGCGUGUUUGCUCUUUGAGAAAUCAUUUUAUAUCAUGGGCAUUUUGUUUAAAACCACAGGGAUUUUUUAAAGGACAAAACAUAGCGUUUUACUUGAGUAUCUGUCUCUAUGUCAUGUUAUAAAUUAGAAAUAUUAGGUUGGCCAAAAAGCUUGUUCCUGUUAUCCUAUAAGAUAUUAUGGAAAACCCAAACAAACUUGUUGGCAAACACAAUAAAUGCCCUUGUUACUCAUUCAAUAAAUAUUUAUGAAGCACUAUGUGUUGGAGGUUCUCUGGGAAGUGCUGACACAACAGGACAGAGUCCCCACUCGGGUAGAAGGCUGCCAGGCCGCAAUGGUCAGCCAGCCUCUAUUUUCGGGGCCAAGCUCCAGAGUCGCUCAGAGCAGAGGAGUCAUCACUAAACCCACGUCCAGGGCUGCUGGGCAGUGGGCAGGGCCAGGAC